UUGAAACACUGGUUCCCAUAUAAUCACUGAAGUUAAGCAACGCUGAGCCUGGUCAGUACCUAGACAGAUGACUGCUUGGGAAUGCCAGGUGCU